UUACUGUUCUUGAAUCAUAAUACAAAAUCAAAGCAAAUGGUAUUGUUGACAAUAAAAAACUUCCUCCAGCUAAAAAUGGAAGAUGACUGCACUACUUGGCUCUUUGAACUAAGGUUGACACAUCAGAUUCAAAGGGUGAGUUACCCAUGGCCAAAACCAUUGCAACUUGCCACAACGAAUAGUAAUUCACAAAACAUAGAUUAACAUUCUUAGCGUCUAAAUCAAAACCCCAAAACAGAAUAAAAAAAUAAAAAUAAAAA